rnacentral:lncRNA from 1 species
AAAAAAGUUAGUUGAGGUGGACUGCUGGUUUAAAGUGGUUUUUUUUCUUAAGACAAAAUGUACUAGAAGAAAGCAGCAAAAAUAGAAAAAGCCAUUCUUGUCUCAGGUGCUGGAAAGACGUAGGCAGAACACAUGGUCUCAUCAGCUGCUCUGUGAUGUGGUGAACCUGUAGCAGGAUUGGGCUGUUGAGACUAUUAUUGAGUUACCUCAUUUGUCACAAGUUCACAGAAAUGUCUCAUAAAAAAGACGGCCUUGCAUGUCACAGUGAGACUCAGGUAGGAGAGAAAUAAGCAGCAGAACAAACCAGGUAUCUCCCAGGACUUGCUCAAGAUUUGGCCAAAGGUCACAUUGCAGAAAAGGAAAUAUUCAGGAAAAUACAACGACCAAAGGCAGGGAACAGCUUCCAUACAAGCUGUGACUUGGGAGAGGGAAGUGAUAGAGCAGCUUGGCAAGCACCCAACAGCCAGCCAAGGUUAACCCACAACAGAUGCCACAAAUAGAUGACAUGGAGAUGGUGGACAUGAAGGAGACAGGCACAUAAUAAUUCUAAAAUCAUGAAUGCCGUGGCAAAAGGAGACACUGCAUGCUGCCUCUUCAAAUACAAGAAUUAGGGGCAUGAAAUUAAUCUGAGAAGACCAUUAUAAAACAGAAAAAACAAUAAAAUUG